GUUUAUAGCUCAAUUGGAUAGAGUGCCGGAUUUCGGUCCCGGAUGUUAUAGGUUCAAAUCCUAUUAA
rnacentral:tRNA from 1 species